GGGAAGAGGGACUCAUGUUUGAGAAAGCUUCUGCAUCAGUUCAAGCCUCCAGGCUCCUGCCUUGAGUUCUUGUCAUUACUUGGAUGAUGGGCUAUACGCUGUAAAAUAAAAGAAACCCUUUUCUUCCCUAGUUGCUCUGUGAUCGUGGUGUUUUAUCAAGCAAGAGAAACCUAACUAGAUCAUGUCUCUGCUUCAUUUGUCCAAACCUGCAUCAAGCCAAGGUCUUGGAGGGAACAAAUGACGGUUCUGAGGAGUUUCCUGGAAGGCUUAAUCAUAGGAGGCAAGGGUUGGGAAAAGCCACAAGUGGCAGUGAGGCCUCCGAGGCUCACAACAGUGCGGAGCCUAUAACACUCCAGGCCUGAAGGGGCAGAGGGAGGGGGAGCUUUGUAGAGUAAGAGAUCACCUAGAAAGAAGGUUGUAGGUGGAGCCAGGGCCUUUGGGGAGAAGCUGGGUGAGCCACAGGGCUUAAGGAGCAUAAACACCCCCCCAGUCCCCAUUGUCGUCCUUCUUAGAGCACCACCAUGUAUCCGGGAGCACUCUGGCGCCUCUCAAGACUCUGGCGAGCAGCUGUGGAGUGUGCACGUGGCUGAGAGAACAUGAGGAGUGGACCUCUACCUCCACCCUAACCCUGCCAGGCCUCCAGAAGGCAUGGCACCCGCUGUGGAAAAAAACUGCCUGAGCACAUUGCCCAAUGCCUUCCGGUUCCCACUGAGAUCAGGAUGUAGCUCACAGCCCCUUCUCCAGCAUCAUGUCUGCCUGGUACAGCCAGCUGCCACGCUCCCCGACGUGAUAAUCAUGGACUGUCAACAAGCCCUCAAUUAAAUACUUUCUCUUGUAAGA
rnacentral:lncRNA from 1 species